AACGAACGCUGGCGGCAUGCCUAACACAUGCAAGUCGAACGAGACCUUCGGGUCUAGUGGCGCACGGGUGCGUAACGCGUGGGAACCUGCCCUUAGGUUCGGAAUAACUCCCCGAAAGGGGUGCUAAUACCGGAUAAUGUCUUCGGACCAAAGAUUUAUCGCCUUUGGAUGGGCCCGCGUUGGAUUAGCUAGUUGGUAGGGUAAAAGCCUACCAAGGCGACGAUCCAUAGCUGGUCUGAGAGGAUGAUCAGCCACACUGGGACUGAGACACGGCCCCGAAUUCUUCGGGAGGGAGGAGGGGGGAAUAUUGGAAAAUGGGCGAAAGCCUGAUCCAGCAAUGCCGCGUGAGUGAUGAAGGCCUUAGGGUUGUAAAGCUCUUUUACCCGGGAUGAUAAUGACAGUACCGGGAGAAUAAGCUCCGGCUAACUCCGUG
rnacentral:rRNA from 1 species